UACGGAGGGUGCAAGCGUUAUCCGGAUUUACUGGGUUUAAAGGGUGCGUAGGUGGGUAGGUAAGUCAGUGGUGAAAUCUUCGAGCUUAACUCGGAAACUGCCAUUGAUACUAUUUAUCUUGAAUACUUUGGAGGUAAGCGGAAUAUGUCAUGUAGCGGUGAAAUGCUUAGAUAUGACAUAGAACACCAAUUGUGAAGGCAGCUUACUACACGGUUAUUGACACUGAGGCACGAAAGCGUGGGGAUCAAACAGG
rnacentral:rRNA from 1 species